CCUUGGCUUAUUCCAACACGCCUGCUGCUCUGACCCAUGUUUUACUUCUCAACUUCUUUGAAGCUGCUCCUAUCUAAACCCCUGGACUCGGUGACUCUACCUGGUUAGUGAACAGCCCCAGGCCAGACAGCAGGCUUGUGUCAAUAGAGAGCUGAAACACUAACCCAGUGCUCCCCUUUUCCCUUCCCACCUCUAGGGAGAAUGUUGCAAGACCCGGGUCGUGCAUGCCCAAGAGCGGAGCGAGUUCCCUGCUACUCAUCACUACCAGCAGCUCCAGGGAAGCUCCCAGAGUCCCGGACCACCAACACCCAGCCUCGCAACGCAAAGAGGUCUGGGCUGGAAGAGCAGCCCGUCUCCUUGCCGUGGGGGUAGAGACAAGCUGUUUCUGAAGGAGAAGGGAGGCGACUUCUGGAGCUCCAGGAACAGGCAAGCUGCUCCAGGCCAGCCCAGCCUGACCAAAGCUGGCCUCAAUCAGCCAAAAAGGCAACAAAAUGCUCAGGCUGGAAAUGGACUUCCCUCUUGCAGGGAGAAAGGCCCUGCCUGUUCAGCUGGCUGGGCCAGCAGAGCGCAUAAAGGAGAUGUAUCCCAACAAAAGCAGACUCACCUCCUAAGCGGAAGGUAAAAAUCCAGCUCAUGGGACAUUUUCUAAGACAUGGAAGCAACUGGCAGCCACCUUGUCCCCUCAGAGCCGCUUCACCCCACCCAUGCAUCAGUGAAGUCAGUGAGUCACCAGGGGUGACAAGUGCACCCUCCAACAUCCCCUGCGCAGCCAGUGUCUCCUGGGUGCUCAGGUCAGAGCGCCACAGCCAGGCGUAAGCAUCAGUGUGGGGGAAAGGUAGCACAAGCAGCCCAGGGAGGGAGCGGACACCAGAAAACAGACCAGAGGAUGCACGUACUGUUUGGGGAGCUCGAGAGAAGUCGGAGGAGGAUUCCAGGUGUCCGGGUGGCCAAGCAUCCAGUCCGACCAGACCUUCACACUGGGGAGCAGCUCCUUCAGGUCCUGGGGCAAGGCAGAGACCUUGAUGUCAUCCUCCUCAUCCUCCUGCUCCACCUCUCGUGGCUGAACUGCAAACACAAGAUGUGAGAGCUGAGGCAGCUCACCGCAGCUAGGAGCCAGGCUCAGGUGGGGUCAGGGGAUGCACAACACGCACCCCAUCGCCCCAGCCUUGGAUGCAGAAGGGAACGGCCACAACCCACAGCAAGUGCAAAGGCAGAUCUGUUCUCCCCACACGGACUGGCUUGCAGGGCAAGCCGGGAUGUCUGUGACCCCUUUUAUUGAGAGCAGCGGGGUGCCAGGGCACCAGUCUCAGAGGUAGGAUCCUGAGGUCCCAGUUUUGGGAUGUUUCCCAAUAGCUGACAGAAAGCAUGCUCUGCAUUCAUCCUUUUCUUCCAAGCAUUUCUGCGAGCACACAUCAGGGGCUUUCCUGCUAAAUGAUCCAGCCACAGCCUGGGCAGAGCUUGGGACACCGGGGAGAAUCCAAGGGCCUCAGCAGAGGGGAAAGGGGUGUACAAAAUAGCAGGGAGCGAGGGCCUGACCCCGGCAGGCUGCCUUGCGGGCAGCUGCGUGGAUCCUGCCGGUAACCCCUUACCUUGCACGCAUUCCCUCAGCAGGUUGGUGCACCUCCUCACCAAGAGCGCAAACAUGGAGAGCCCCAGGGCCGUGGCCUGUUCCUGGAUGACGGAGCGGCAGUCUUCAGAGACACACUCUAAGGGACAGAGAGAGGGUUCAGCGGGGAGCAGGUCAGAUGCUCUGUCUUGCUUCACCUUUGCAACCUCCCCUUCUGCAUCCCUUAUGGAGCAGGGAUCUCUGCAGGGGUGGGUGGUUCCCCAGCUCACACCUGUCCUGGACCCAAUUUGCUCCACAUGGUGGGGAUAAAAGGUGGUGAGUAGCUACUCUAGAGUGGGAAGAGGCUCAGUCACACUGCCCACAUUGUGCCUGACCCUGCCUCAUGUGCUGAGCCAGCCCAGCCCGAGCCAGCGCUCCCAGCACAGAAGCUGCUGCUCAGAGCUGAUGCCUCCCCCUGAAGGAGGGGGGUAUGUUUAAGUGUUAAAAGGGUAAUUAGCUGCAUGUUUGAUCUUUGUCCCUGCUGGAGUUUUAACCUCAGCAGCUGAGGAGGGGGCUCCUCCCAUUAGUUCACCAGUCACACAACAGCUUGUCAAGAGAGCUUAAUUGAAGCUGUUACUCAAGUAGAUGCCACACGACCACAGCUCUUCCAAACAGAGCCGGCUCGGAGUGAGAGCAAAUCCCCCCGGCACAUCUACACCCAGCCAGAAACCACUUCUGAGGCUGCUGAGAGCAGCGGGGAGCUGGCUCGAGGGAACUGCCUGGAGCUGGGCGUGGGUUACAUUUAGCAAGGCCGAGAGCACCGUGGGGCAUGCCAGGCUGCCUGUGCUCGCUCAGGCACCGUGCUGCCUGCUCACAGAAGAUUUUUAAGCCUUACGGGCAGCCUCUGCCCUCCGAGUCCCCUCUGCCCCCAGUUCACGUCCUCCCUUGAGAUGCAGGGGGGAGUGGCUGUGGCCAGGGGCUUGCCGGGAGGGAGGCAGGGAAGGGCUGGCUGGGAUGUACCGGCACUGCUCGGGGGUCUCCGUGCCAUUCACUCUGCACAGGCUGCUCCGCCGCAGCACCUUGCGGGCUGGCGCAUCGCCUGCCGCAGGACCAGGUCUCCCAGCCCUCACCCUGCAGAUGGGCAGACACUGGGCGAACAGCUGCCGCAAGCCAGGCGAAGGAUUUGCACAGUGAACGCAAAUACGUAGGUACCGACUCCAAACCGGCACCUGUGCGAGCAAAGCCCCAGCGCCGGGAUGGGGAGGGGGAGCCCCUGCAGAGCCCCGGCACCUCCGCCGCAGACGUGAGCACCAGCUGCGUGUGGACAAGGAGAAGGUCUUGGAAGCUGAACUCCCCUGAUGUGGCAGACCAGGGAUUUUGAGCAAAGGGCAAGAGGAUUAAAGUAAGAUAUCAAGACCUUGUUCCAGCCGGGGCUAGCAAAACACCUGAGGCACAGAGAACAAACUUUGGGUUUUAAGUGCAAAUUAUUUCGGAGCAAUCGGGUGGGAGGUUAAAAACAACGAGAACAAGACUAAAGCAGAAGAAAAUAUAGGAAAACACAGGUGGAAGAUCUGUAGGCUUGUUUUGGCCAGCCCUUAGAGCUGCCAAUGAGUUCAGCAACCAGUGGGGAGAUCACUGAGGGUAACCCAGGGUGGCACCAGAGGCCCUGGUAGCUGAACGAGGGUGCUCUGCUCCCGGAGCCAGGGCUGAGCCGGUGCCGCAGAGCAAUGGUAGGAAGUGCUGUACUGCAGGGGCUGUCAACUUUUGGAGGAAACAUAAAACUAAAGAUGUGACCA